rnacentral:rRNA from 1 species
AGAGUUUGAUCAUGGCUCAGAUUGAACGCUGGCGGCAUGCCUUACACAUGCAAGUCGAACGGCAGCACGGGGGCAACCCUGGUGGCGAGUGGCGAACGGGUGAGUAAUAUAUCGGAACGUGCCUUAGAGUGGGGGAUAACUAGUCGAAAGAUUAGCUAAUACCGCAUACGAUCUACGGAUGAAAGUGGGGGAUUCGCAAGGACCUCAUGCUCUUAGAGCGGCCGAUAUCUGAUUAGCUAGUUGGUGGGGUAAAAGCCUACCAAGGCGACGAUCAGUAGCUGGUCUGAGAGGACGACCAGCCACACUGGGACUGAGACACGGCCCAGACUCCUACGGGAGGCAGCAGUGGGGAAUUUUGGACAAUGGGGGCAACCCUGAUCCAGCAAUGCCGCGUGUGUGAAGAAGGCCUUCGGGUUGUAAAGCACUUUUGUCAGGAACGAAACGCGCCGGGCUAAUACCCUGGCGUAAUGACGGUACCUGAAGAAUAAGCACCGGCUAACUACGUGCCAGCAGCCGCGGUAAUACGUAGGGUGCGAGCGUUAAUCGGAAUUACUGGGCGUAAAGCGUGCGCAGGCGGUUGUGCAAGACAGAUGUGAAAUCCCCGGGCUCAACCUGGGAAUUGCAUUUGUGACUGCACGGCUAGAGUGUGUCAGAGGGGGGUAGAAUUCCACGUGUAGCAGUGAAAUGCGUAGAUAUGUGGAGGAAUACCGAUGGCGAAGGCAGCCCC